CUUCAAUUACUAUGGACAACCAUAAUACGAUUUUAAUUCCUUAUUUCCACAUUCCCAAUUUAUAACUAUCAUUCAAUGAAACUCUUCAGUGGUCUACCAAAACAAAGAUGAAGCCUCAAUUAAAUAGGUGUACAUGGUACUACCAACAAGCAUAAGAAUAUCUCAUUCCAGCUCGGAAGCAUCAAGCAAGAAUACACAGCAAACUCCAGGUCUCUUUGUAGCAUACACAAAAACAAGAAAAAAAAUGCAGCAAACCCCAGCCCACCCCUAGUUCCGUCCCUGUUUAUAAUCAGUAAAUUAAUAAAACCAUAAAGCAACUCCUACAACCACCGCCGCCGCCGUGAACAGUAUCACACACGGCGAUCCUCCACUACCAAAACCUAACUUCUUUAAAUCCCAACCAAACUUGAAUUCAACUAUACAAAAAGGUAGAGCUUGACGAGAAGAUCAAGUUUCAUACCUCACUUGCCUCCGUCGGUGGCCAGAAUACACAGAACUCUCGCCGAAAAACUCAGAAGCUUCCCGUCUUCGAUUCUCUCUCACCGAAGCUCCAUCGACGGAAUCGAGACUAUAGGAAGGAUCACGAGGCUGAGAUGAAGCUACCAGUACCAGUACCAGUCACGCUCGCCGCCGUGGCCGGAAUCACGAACUCGACCGAAAACCCAGAAUUCCUUCUCUCCUUCGAUUCUCACUCUCUGGAGCUCCUCUUUGGAAACGAAGAAUAUAGGGAGGUCGGGGACGGCGAGACGAAGGCGUGGACACCAGCCUUGCGCCGGGAGGCGGCUGGACGACGGACGGAGCGGUCAGAGGUCUCUGUCGCUGCAGAGCAAUCGAGACCGAGGUCGGUCUGGGCUGUGUUUUGGGCUUUGAUCCGAUAAGGUCCAAGCCGCGCCGCUUCGAUGGUGAAGCAUGCGAGGAGAGAGUAGGAGAAGGGGUCGCUGAUUCUGGCUUUGGUUGUAGAAGAAGAUGUGGAUCAGGAGGAGGUGAAAGAGCUCGAAUAGGGUUUGGUUUGGAGGAGAGGACGUCGAGGUGGUGGAGUUGGAGGGAGGAGUCGUCGAGGAGGGGUCGUCGGAGUAGGAUUUAGAGAUGGUGGAGAGAGGGCUGAGCGGCACGGUCUGCCUCUCCCUCUAUCUCUCUCUCUCUCAAAAUCUAGCCUUAGGGUUCUGACCUAUUUUNNNNN
rnacentral:lncRNA from 1 species